CUUAAAUUAUCGGAGAAUAAAGGCUUUUUCCCCUGGAGAAGAAUCCCAAUUUGAAAAAAAAUGGCUUAAAAUUAUUCCCCAAAAGACAACUUUUUUCUCAAACAGUGCAGUCUCAGUAGUAAUUGUGCAUGAAUACAAACUUAAAAAACUCAUUUAAACAUUUUUCAUGCCUAAAAUGACUAUAUGUGCAGAUUUGAGGGU
rnacentral:lncRNA from 1 species